rnacentral:rRNA from 1 species
GACGAACCGUCCAAACGUUAUUCGGAAUUACUGGGCUUAAAGGGCGCGUAGGCGGUUCUUUAAGUCAGGCGUGAAAGCCCUGGGCUCAACCUGGGAGUGGCGCUUGAUACUGGAGGACUAGAGAGUGGGAGAGGUUGGUGGAAUUCCCAGUGUAGAGGUGAAAUUCGUAGAUAUUGGGAAGAACACCGGUGGCGAAGGCGGCCAACUGGACCAUUUCUGACGCUGAGGCGCGAAAGCGUGGGGAGCAAACAGG